rnacentral:rRNA from 1 species
AACGUAGGAGACAAACGUUAUCCGGAGUUACUGGGCGUAAAGGGCGUGUAGGUGGUUACGUAAGUCUGGCGUGAAAUUUCUCGGCUUAACCGAGGCAGGUCGUCGGAUACUGCGAGACUAGAGGACGGUAGAGGCGUGUGGAAUUCCGGGUGUAGUGGUGAAAUGCGUAGAGAUCCGGAGGAACCCCAGAGGCGAAGGCGGCGUCCUGGCUCGCAUCUGACGCUCAGACACGACAGCAUGGGGAGCGAACGGG